GGCGAUAAAUGUGUACUGUAAUGUUUACUAUAGUGACAAAAAAUUUAAAAGUUAAUAGAAACAAACAAAAUUACAAUUUUCUUCUCAAUAACGAAGUGUUUUAUUUUAAAAACACCAUUUGCAUAAGUUUUCAAUUUAUCUAGUUCAUAGUUAAGCAGAACAAUUAGAUAUCAGGUCGACGACAUGGGUAUCUUUCAAGUUGGAUGUAGAAAAUGCAUAUCCUCCGAUUUAAAAAAAAAA
rnacentral:lncRNA from 1 species